GACGAACGCUGGCGGCGUGCUUAACACAUGCAAGUCGAACGGAAAGGCCCUGCUUUUGUGGGGUGCUCGAGUGGCGAACGGGUGAGUAACACGUGAGUAACCUGCCCUUGACUUUGGGAUAACUUCAGGAAACUGGGGCUAAUACCGGAUAGGAGCUCCUGCUGCAUGGUGGGGGUUGGAAAGUUUCGGCGGUUGGGGCUGGACUCGCGGCUUAUCAGCUUGUUGGUGGGGUAGUGGCUUACCAAGGCUUUGACGGGUAGCCGGCCUGAGAGGGUGACCGGCCACAUUGGGACUGAGAUACGGCCCAGACUCCUACGGGAGGCAGCAGGGGGGAAUAUUGCACAAUGGGCGGAAGCCUGAUGCAGCAACGCCGCGUGCGGGAUGACGGCCUUCGGGUUGUAAACCGCUUUCGCCUGUGACGAAGCGUGAGUGACGGUAAUGGGUAAAGAAGCACCGGCUAACUACGUG
rnacentral:rRNA from 1 species